rnacentral:rRNA from 1 species
AGCGAACGCUGGCGGCAGGCCUAACACAUGCAAGUCGAACGAACCUUUCGGGGUUAGUGGCGGACGGGUGAGUAACACGUGGGAACGUGCCUUUAGGUUCGGAAUAACUCAGGGAAACUUGUGCUAAUACCGAAUGUGCCCUUCGGGGGAAAGAUUUAUCGCCUUUAGAGCGGCCGGCGUCUGAUUAGCUAGUUGGUUGAGGUAAUGGCGCACCAAGGCGACGAUCUGUAGCUGGUCUGAGAGGAUGAUCAGCCACAUUGGGACUGAGACACGGCCCAAACUCCUACGGGAGGCAGCAGUGGGGAAUCUUGCGAAAUGGGCGAAAGCCUGACGCAGCCAUGCCGCGUGAAUGAUGAAGGUCUUAGGAUUGUAAAAUUCUUUCACCGGGGACGAUAAUGACGGUACCCGGAGAAGAAGCCCCGGCUAACUUCGUG